UUUUUGGAGAGUUUGAUCCUGGCUCAGGAUUAACGCUGGCGGCGUGCCUAACACAUGCAAGUCGAACGAGGUAGCAAUACCUAGUGGCAGACGGGUGAGUAACACGUGGGCAACCUACCGUAGAGUGGGGGAUAACUAACCGAAAGGUUAGCUAAUACCGCAUGAAACGUGCUGUGGCAUCACAGAACGUUAAAAGGAGCAAUCCGCUUUAUGACGGGCCCGCGUCCGAUUAGCUAGUUGGUGGGGUAACGGCCUACCAAGGCUCCGAUCGGUAGCUGGUUUGAGAGAGCGACCAGCCACACUGGGACUGAGAAACGGCCCAGACUCCUACGGGAGGCAGCAGUGAG
rnacentral:rRNA from 1 species